rnacentral:misc_RNA from 1 species
GAACGCACAUUGCGCCCCUUGGUAUUCCGAGGGGCAUGCCUAUUCGAGCGUCAUUAUCACCCUUCAGGCUUCGGCCUGGUGUUGAGGCCUGCCGUCAAGGCACCCUCUAAAAUCAGUGGCGGCGCCCUCUGGCUCUAAGCGUAGUAACAUACCGCUAUGGGGUCCCGGGGACGCUCGCCAGAACACCCAACUUCUUAAUGAUUGACCUCGGAUUAGGUAGGGAUACCCGCUGAACUUAAG